UAAACUUUAAUUGGUUGCUAAAGAUUGUAAUCAAACUAAAAAUAAAACGCUCCCCUCGACAAAUUGGCAAAAUUUUCUUUCCUCCUCUCGCCGUUGUGUGUGUUUUUGAUUGAAUAGAAAAGUAAGAAUGAUAAUAACCGAGCAAGUUUGUUGAGGUGAUGAGAAAUCUAUGUGAUAUAGUACCUAAGUAUGAAUCUGGGGUUUGAAUUCACAGCUAUUAGUUGUUAGAUAUAUUAGAUUCCUAUUGAGAAGUAUGCUGGGGAGCUUUUAGCAUGAGAUGAUGGAGGUGAAAGCAGAAAGAAACAGACCAAUUGCGGUCUUUAUGGCCUUUGGUACCAAGGGUGAUGUCUAUCCCAUAGCUGCAAUAGCUGUGGCUUUUGCCUGUGAUCAAAGGAAAUAUGAAGUGGUUUUUGUUAGUCACUCUGCCCAUCAGGACUUAGCUACUCAUUUGAUUGAAAGUAAUGUCAGAUACUUUUUGGUUUGUUCUCCGCCUGUACUUCCUCCUCCUGAAAGUGAUGAAAAUGACAAUAAAUCUAUCCAUUUGUCAUUCUGUAGCCAGAAACGUGUGGUUGUAGGGGACCAUAGACGAGAAUGCCUUGUGGUUAUGGAAAGGAUCUUUGGAGAUGGUCCAACCAUGAAGGGUGAUUUUAUUUUGAUUAAUUUUUUCGCAUUGGAAGGGUGGAGUCUUGCUGAAUUGUUUCAUGUUCAGUGUGUUGUAGCUGCUCCUUACGUAAUAAACUAUACUGCCCCUUCAUCAUUUCAGAGAAAGUUCAGACUGGAACUUCCUCUUCUUUACCAAUAUCUGCAAGAGGCUCCUGAUGGUAAGCUUGGUUGGAAAGAUGUAAUUCAUUGGAUGUGGCCACUUUUCUCAGAAGAUUGGGGUUCAUGGAGGAGGGAUGAACUCAAUCUUAGCUCUUUUCCUUUUACCGACCCAGUGACGGGUAAUCCUAUGUGGCAUGAACGGCCUUUAUGUCCCUUACUAUUGUAUGGAUUCAGCAGAGAGGUUGUUGAGUGUCCUGGUUAUUGGCCUUCCAACUCUCAGGUCUGUGGGUUUUGGUUUCUCCCUUCCACAUGGCAGUUUUCAUGCAGCAGUUGCCGAGAUACAUUUAUCUUAAGGGUAAAACUCUGCUCAAUUCAUACAGAGCUACACAACUUUAUUGAUGCUAAUCAGUCAGUGCCACUUAUUUUCAUAGGUUUGAGUUCAGCCGGGAAUUUUGGUUUUGUGAGGAAUCCUAAAGCAUUUCUAUGUAUCUUACAAGCUUUGAUUGAGACAACCAAUUGUAGAUUCAUUCUUUUCACGGCUGGAUUUGAACCACUGGAUGUGGCUAUUCAAGUUAUUGCUGCUGAAGGGGAUUCAUCAUCAUCAUGUCAAAGUAUUAGCUUAGAUAAUGGGGUUUCUCUGUGCAAUAACCGUUUAUAUUGCUUUUCUGGUUCCCUUCCAUACAGUUGGAUUUUCCCAAAAUGUGUAACGGUCAUCCAUCAUGGUGGUAGUGGAUCCACUGCUGCAGCUCUAAGAGCUGGAAUACCCCAAGUUAUAUGCCCCUUUAUGCUAGAUCAAUUUUAUUGGGCGGAAAGGAUGUGCUGGCUUGGAGUAGCUCCAGAACCUUUGAGAAGGAAUCAUUUGCUUCCAGAAAGUUGUAACGAUGUUAGCAUCAGGGAAGGUGCUGAUAUUUUAAAGAAUGCCUUAAAUUGUGCUAUGAGUCUUGAACUAAAAGCACGUGCUCUUGAGAUUUCAGGGAUAAUUUCUAGGGAGGACGGUUUGUCAGAAGCUGUCAGGAUUUUAAAGGAAGAAGUUGUCCAAUGAUUUUAUACUUUUUAAUUGUCUUAGCUUCCUGAAAGCAUUUAUACUGUAUUCUGGAUGAGAUAAGAAGCCUGUUCAAUAAUUGUUGCAAACACGGAGGUGGAAAUGUGCUACACAUGAGGAGAAGAAGGAAAGGUCCAUAUAAAGUAAUUAAAGCUGCAUUUACUUAUUAUAGGUUGUAUGGUUAGGAGGUUGAAGAAGGAGUAAUAUUGAAAGACUGACAAUUGAGGGAAGGUUGUGGUGAGUUCCUUCAAUCUUUCUUCAAAUAUCUGCCAAAAGAGCUGGCAGGAAUUUAUGAUGGGUUUUCUAAUUCCAAUGCUUUACAGGUUGUGUUACUACUAUGGUCUGUGAGGUCCAACUACUCUAACCAGAAACCAAUACAGGUACAUGUGUGUGUAUGUAUACAUGCGUUUUGUGCUUGGGAAUGCAUUAUUUUGGGUUUUAAGGUUGAGUCUUCAUUUUUGCUUUUCUAUAAAUACAAGAGUUUAUGGUUGAUGACCUGUAAUUAGAUGCCUAAUAAAUAGGCAUACUAACUAAAUGCGUAAUAAAUAGGAUUAUAGAGUAAAUUAUUUAUAGUUGAAUUGGGUGGGUUACAGUCUUAUAAGGCAAUACCCUUAGAAAUAAUUCGUAAAAACUCUUUGUAUAGAAAAGAAUAUAAAGAAUAUGUACCAUACCAAAUUUAAUUUGUCAAGAACAAAUUGAAUAUUUCAUUCAAUAUGUUUGUUGCGUUGAUGACGAAAAAUGAUUCCAGAUAAAUAAAUUACAUUGGCGUUGUCUUAAUAUACGAUAGUUGCGUAAGUGAUGGGAUAGCGUCAACACGACUAUCACAUUUGCUAUAUGCAGCUUCAGAAUUAGAUUUGGAUAGUGUCAAUUGUUGUUUAGAGGACUUGGAUAUCAGAUUAUGAUUAAGAAAACCCUAUGUAAUGACAUGUAUUCUCUUCAAUCUGCAUCAGUACAAGUGAAAACCAUAACAAUAGUGUCUUGGAUGUAACUUUUUUAGUACAAACUACCUUAACUCCUGCAAAUGCUAUUUCAAUACAUUCAUUAGUAUUAGUGUUGUAAGAUCCCCCAAGACUUACGGGUUCUUGCAAGCUUUAAUCAAUGAUCGAAAGAAAGAACGAUGAAGGAAAUGGUGAGGGUGAAUGUCGAAUGAACAAGCUGAUUUUUUUGAUGUUUUUGUUUGAUUUUAGAAAACAACAAAUAAAGGAUAAUGAUGGCUAAUCUCGAAACUCACUAAGAAUCCACGUAGCAAGUAACGACACUCUUAAGACACAGGUGCACGCGUCAAACACACCAAACAUAAGAACUUUUGCAAAUACGACUCUAAUCCAAGAAUCAUACAAACAACAGGGAUUGAAAAAAAAAAUUUUGAUUUUCUUUAUCAUUAAUCAACUCUGAAAAAUUACAAUACUUGUUGAAUUAUUUAUAAAGAAAGAAAAAACGAAAGAAACUAACUGAAAAAUCGACUCACAAAAACCGUGCACAUGACCGGCCAUAGUGACGUAUGAAAGUUACCACUUUGGUCGGUUGUAGCUCCUUGGUAACUAACUCCUAUGUGUUCAUUCUGCAAGUAACUUCUCACGUAACUUUCGUCCCGUAAUUAACUACUUAUUAUAAAUGGAAAUAAAUAUUUGCUAAUUUAUGAAGUAUAUUUGUUUUUGUACCCUUACAACCAUCUUGUAUGAAAUGGUUGGAUUGGUAUUGGUAUUGAAAUUUUAAUGCACCGAAGUUUCGAAAUUUGACUAACUUUAGCUCUGAUACCACAUGUAACAGGAGCGGCAAUCUCGAUACAUAAUUAACAUUUAAUAAUAAUGUUUAAUACAAGAAUAUUGCAGAAGUCUCAAAAUGUCGAACUGUUAAAAACUUUAAAUCAUAAAAACUGAAACUGUUUAAAACAAAAGUAAAUAUUACAUCUGAUAAGAAAUAUUGUUUGCUAAAAAUGGAAAAAUACAUCAUCAUCAAGUUAUCAAUAAAGAUACAAAAAGCAGCUAAGUUCUCGAUAAAUAGUAAUUGUUGCGGCCUGGAUCGGAACCUAAACUAAAUCCUGCAAAAUGUUGCCAUCCAUGAUACGGAUGACAGCCGAUUGAAUCGGUCAGCGCUUAACGCCGAGCAUAACUUCCUAUCCAGCUCAAAAUAUGAGUCAUACGCUAUCCUGAGAUCAACCUUUAUCAUACAUCUAGGGCUGUUGUUUUUUCGAGAGUACCCUUUAAUCAAUUCAGUAGCCAAUAAAAUAUUACCUGCCAUUUGUCUCCCCGGGAUAAACCCUGAUUGGGCAUAAUCAAUCACCUCCACAAUCACCUUUUUGAGUCUCCCAGCAAGCACUCUAGAAAUUACUUUAUAGAUAACGAUACAACAAGCAAUCGGAUGGUACUCACCAAACUUAUUAGCCGGGUUCGUCUUCGGAAUCAA